CGAUGGCGGCAAGUGGACGAGAGAAAGAGCGUUGUGCCUUGUGCCCUUGGUUGUGUUGUUGUUGUUUCAAUGUUUUUAUUAUUACCAUGUGACAAUGUGUGCAGAGAUUAUUUCAGUGGAAAUUGUGUUACAAUACAAGUGACAUGUGGUCAGUGACAUUUACGCAUGGAAUGUAAAUUGCAUUUUGCAUAAAACUUUGUUGCAGACGAUGUCAACGUGCAAUGACACCCCGACAAUGGAAUAUAGUACUAUUGUUGGCGAACUAGCCGAGUUUGACAUUAAGGCUCCUAUCAGUAUCACGAUUAGUUUUGAUGACGAUCUCGAUGAACCUCUUGUGAAAAAACAAAUUGUGUUAGAUGAUUAUCAAGAAGAGGAAACUCAAGAAACCGUUAUAUCUACUUUUUUCCCCGUUUUGGAAACAAAACCAGAAAUCCAGGCAGAAACGCCUGAUCCUUGUUUAUCUAGUGAGUGCAACGAUUUCAUCGUACAAAAUGUUCAAGACGCUCCUCAACCUGAUAACCUAAACGAUGGAUUGUUAAAUAGUAAUACAUCUAGAAAACGAAAAACAGAAAAUUUUGAAAUGUGCAAACCAAAGCAGUUCAAAAUUUUAGAUGACAAAUUGGAUGAAAAUAACUGUGACAAGGAAAAUUCACACACAACUCACGACAAAAGUGAUAAUAUUCAAUCUGAUCCCAAUAUAUCUACCCGUGAAUCCGAAAAACAUAGCACUGUUGCGACCACCCUACUAGAGUCCAGUCUGAGCAAUAAAAAGGCUACCGAUAAGCAAUUCGAUUUAUCUUCAUACUUAAACGAAUUCUGUCCAAGUGAAAAGGACAAAAUAAGAUUGAUUAUAACGGGGUGCUUGAAUUCGUUGUCUGAAAACAUGGUAUCUAUCAUGCAAGCCUUUGUUACCUACAGACAACAACACAUUUCUAAAGAAGAGUUUAGGAAAAAGAAACAACAAUAUUUUAAUUCAUGUUACAAAGUGUUGGUAAAAGUAAUAUUACCGGAAGAAAACAACAAAGAUUUUAUACACACUUUCCUAAAUAACACGCUACAACGUGGUCGUAAAAAGUGUGGUCCUUAUUUUAUGCCUACGCACCAAGAUUAUGCGAAUCUCUUUUACGAAAUGCUUAUGUGGGCUAAGAUGAGCCAGCAACCAAUUCCAUCCGCGGAUAUUUCUGCAAAUGCAAAUGAAAAGUCUGUACCACCAAUAACAAUCAAAAGUGUUGCUACAGUUGGAUCAGAAUUUAAUAAACAUCCAGCACAAGAUAAAUUACAGUCUACCAACACACAUAAAAAUACUGCAGCGGAAAAAAUUUGCAUAUUUUCAUCAGGUCCGCCCGAAAGAGCAUUAAGUAUUAACAUUGAUCCAACUUUUCAAAAAUAUUUGCACAAUACUUCCCAAUAUGGCAGUAACGAGACAAAUACUGAAAGUAAUAACACCACGCAGUUACAGACAGCCGUAGCGUGCCUAACUAGAUUUGUAGCCAAUAGCAGCCAAUCUUCAACCAUCCCCUCCCAAGGCAAUCCUCGUCCACCGGUUAUCCAACCAACGACAUCGGUAAGCUGUAAUCGACCAACUGCUCAACAGGAACAACAUCCCACGCUUUCAUCAAACAGCCAGGGUUACACCACGAGUAACAUAUCAAAUUAUAGCAUUUUAACCCAUCAAAAGACUGCGACACCUCUUCUACAAAAGGAAUUAGAAAAGCCUCCAUUGCUUGGAUAUUUACAACAAGUAGAUCAUCAACCACCUACAUACGGUUCUCAUUUUCAAACACAUUCAAAACAGGUGCAGCAAGCAACGCUACCUUAUGAUCAGUCUCAGCGCUUGCGUGCACAAUCCAUUCAACAACAGCAAUUGCCGUCGCAAUAUAAUCCAACGCAGUAUCAACAAUCUCAGUAUUUACGAUCUCAGUCGGGAAUUGAGUACAAUCAAGCGUGGCAAUUAGGUCAAUCGCCUUUACCAACGUCAACAUAUAACCAAUCACGACAAGCCCAAGUGGGAGUAUUGCAGCAGGACCAAUAUCAACAGCAACAACAACAUCCAGCUGAUAGCUGGCCGACCAUGGAAGAGCUCCUUUCAAUGGAUUCAACGCAUCAGCUCCCGUGUCAGUCAAGUACUGAGCAAGUAAAAUCAUUUGGACAAUGGCAAUCAAAACAAGCCCAACCACCACAAGCGUCUACAACAGAGUGGCACCAGCAGGGGCAGGUUUGCCAAGGACAGGUUCCUUCACAGACUCAGAAAGGGUCUCCCCGCUCCGCUUCCACCGAUAGCGGAUUUAUAAGUCCAUUGAAUUUCAACGUGCCUACAGACCAAACCAGACAAGAUUCAAUGGUAAUUGAUUUAUGUAACUGGUACGGCAUAACGUACGCAGAUGCCGACAGUAUCUCAUGGGCCCGAAACCUCCAUGCCUAUGAUAGUACACGUCACGUCCCUCAGUGAGAAAGCCGCCUUCCUAGAUAUGGGCACGUGCGUGGUAUGCAAGAAGAGCGCCAAGCAAAUGUGCAUGGGUUGCAUGAAGGUUUACUACUGUAAUUAUGAAUGUCAGACUCUCAACUGGGCUGAGCACGCGCCUUAUUGUUCGCAGUAAAAUACAAGUAAUAUGUUUUAAAAGCCGCAUAUUAAAGUAAAGGAAAAAGAGUAAAGACUGUUAUAUUACUGAUAUAAUAAGAACUAGUGUAACUUUAAAAU